GCACCAAUAGUCCAGUGGUUAGGAUACUCGCCUUCCAAGCGAGUGGCCCGGGUUCGAUUCCCGGUUGGUGCA
rnacentral:tRNA from 1 species